rnacentral:piRNA from 1 species
UGGCAAGGUCAUCCUGUGUCUUUAGGUUGU